rnacentral:rRNA from 1 species
GAAGUAAAAGUCGUAACAAGGUUUCCGUAGGUGAACCUGCGGAAGGAUCAUUACCCAGGAGAGGGGGACUUAUAUAAAGGGACAUGACCCGAAUACGUGGGGAUAUAAUUCGUCACGUAUUCGGGCUAUGUCCCUGGAGCCUGCCCACACUCAUGUCUUUUGCGUACAACUUGUUUUCCUCGGGGGGGCUACUCUCCAAUAGGAUCAUCAUACCAACCCUUUUGUAAUUGCAGUCAGCGUCAGAAAAUCAUAUAAUUAUUACAACUUUCAACAACGGAUCUCUUGGUUCUGGCAUCGAUGAAGAACGCAGCGAAAUGCGAUAAGUAGUGUGAAUUGCAGAAUUCAGUGAAUCAUCGAAUCUUUGAACGCACAUUGCGCCCCUUGGUAUUCCAGGGGGCAUGCCUGUUCGAGCGUCAUUUGUACCCUCAAGCUCUGCUUGGUGUUGGGUGUUUGUCUCGCGGUUCUGCGUAGACUCGCCUGAAAACAAUUGGCAGCCGGCACGUUAGCCUGGAGCGCAGCACAUAUUGCGUCUCUUGCUAGUGAAUGUUGGCCCCCAUCAAGUCUAUUUCUUUGCUCUUGACCUCGGAUCAGGUAGGGAUACCCGCUGAACUUAAGCAUAU